AGGACGAACGCUGGCGGCGUGCUUAACACAUGCAAGUCGAGCGGUAAGGCCCUUCGGGGUACACGAGCGGCGAACGGGUGAGUAACACGUGGGUAACCUGCCCUGUACUCUGGGAUAAGCCUGGGAAACUAGGUCUAAUACCGGAUGCGACUGGCCACCGCAUGGUGGCUGGUGGAAAGUUCCGGCGGUAUGGGAUGGACCCGCGGCCUAUCAGCUUGUUGGUGAGGUAACGGCUUACCAAGGCGACGACGGGUA
rnacentral:rRNA from 1 species